UUCUGUCAUCAUGAAGUGCUUUGAGAGACUAGUCAAGGAUCAUAUCAACUCCACCCUACCUGUCACCCUAGACCCACUCCAAUUUGCUUACCGUCCCAAUAGGUCCACAGACAAUGCAAUCGCCAUCACCCUGCCCUAUCCCAUCUGGACAAGAGGAAUACCUAUGUAAGAAUGCUGUUCAUUGACUACAGCUCAGCAUUCAACACCAUAGUACCCUCCAAACUCAUCAUUAAGCUUGAGACCCUGGGUCUCAACCCCGCCCUGUGCAACUGGAUCCUGGACUUCCUGACGGGCCGCCUCCAGGUGGUGAAGUUAAGAAACAACAUCUCCACAACAUCUCCACUCUGCUGACCCCACAAGGUCCACAAUUGACAACAUCCUGUCGGGCUGUAUCACCGCCUGGUACGGCAACUGCAACGCCCACAACCACAGGGCUCUCCAGAGGGUGGUGCGGUCUGCACAACGCAACACCGACGUCACAGGAAGGCAAAAAAGAUCAUCAAGGACAACAACCACCCGAGCCACUGCCUGUUCACCCCGCUACCAUCCAGAAGGAUACCUUCACCACCCGAUGUCACAGGAAGGCCAAAAAGAUCAUCAAGGACAACAACCACCCGAGCCACUGCCUGUUCACCCCGCUAUCAUCCAGAAGGUGAGGUCAGUACAGGUACAUCAAAGCUGGGACUGAGAGACUGAAAAACAGCUUCUAUCUCAAGGCCAUCAGACUGUUAAACAGCCAUCACUAGCACAUCAGAGUCUGCUGCCUAUAGGCAUAGACUAGGAAUCACUGGCCACUUUAAGGAAUGGAACACUAGUCACUUUAAUAAUGUUUACAUAUCUUACAUUACUCAUCUCAUAUGUAUAUACUGAUUUCUAUACUAUACUACGGUAUCUCAUUCACUUAACAAUGUUU
rnacentral:lncRNA from 1 species